ACUCCUACGGGAGGCAGCAGUGGGGAAUCUUGGACAAUGGGCGCAAGCCUGAUCCAGCCAUGCCGCGUGAGUGAUGAAGGCCCUAGGGUCGUAAAGCUCUUUCGCCAGGGAUGAUAAUGACAGUACCUGGUAAAGAAACCCCGGCUAACUCCGUGCCAGCAGCCGCGGUAAUACGGAGGGGGUUAGCGUUGUUCGGAAUUACUGGGGCGUAAAGCGCGCGUAGGCGGACUGGAAAGUUGGGGGUGAAAUCCCGGGGGCUCAACCUCGGAACUGCCUCCAAAACUCCCAGUCUUGAGUUCGAGAGAGGUGAGUGGAAUUCCGAGUGUAGAGGUGAAAUUCGUAGAUAUUCGGAGGAACACCAGUGGCGAAGGCGGCUCACUGGCUCGAUACUGACGCUGAGGUGCGAAAGUGUGGGGAGCAAACAGGAUUAGAUACCCUGGUAGGAAAGCG
rnacentral:rRNA from 1 species